AUGAGGCAAAUGGUGAUCUCACCAGAUACUGACUGGUUUUCUGAUCCAUGCCCCUAUGCAUGUCCAUGUCCAUGUCCAUUCACCUCUCACAUCACCCAGCCCAUGUCCAUGUCCAUGCACCUCUAUAGGUCCACAGACGACGCAAUCGCAACCACACUGCACACUGCCCUAACCCAACUGGACAAGAGGAAUACCUAUGUGAGAAUGCUGUUCAUCGACUACAGCUCAGCAUUUAACAAUAUAGUACACUCCAAACUCGUCAACAAGCUCGAAACCCUGGGUCUCAACCCCGCCCUGUGCCAAACAAUGUCCAUGUACCUCUCAAGUCACCCAACCCAGGUCCAUGAAACUCUCACAUCACCCAACCCAUCUCUAUAUGCAUGCACCACUCACAUCACCCAACAAUGUCCAUUCAUCUCUCACAUCACCCAACAAUGUCCAUGCAACUCUCACAUCACCCAGCCAAUUUCCACAGAUCUCUUACAUUACCCAGGCAUGUCCAUGCACCUCUCACAUCACACAUCCAAUUUCCACGCACCUCUUACAUCACCCAACCAUGUCCAUGCACCUCUCACAUCACUCAACCAUGUCCAUGCACCUCUCACAUCACCCAACCCAUGUUCAUGUCCAUGCACUUCUCUCAUCAAUCAGCCAAUGUCUUUGUCCACGCACCUCUCACAUCACCGAACCAUGCCCAUAUCCAUGCACAUCUCACAUAACCCAACCAUGUUCUUGCACCUCUCACAUCACCCAGUCCAUGUCCAUGCACCUCUCACAUCACCCAACCAUGUCCAUGUCCCUGUCUAUGUCCAUGCGCCUGUCAUAUCACCCAGCAAUUGUCCAUGGCCAUGCAAGUCACACAACCCAUGCCCAUGCACUUCUCACAUCACCCACCCAUGUCCAUGCACCUCUCACAUCACAAACCAUGUCCAUGCACCUCUCACAACACCCAACCAUGUCCAUCACCUCACAUCACCCAGCCCAUGUCCAUGCCCAUGCACUUCUCACAUCACCCACCCAUGUCCAUGCACCUCUCACAUCACAACCCAUGCCUGCACCUCUCACAACACCCAACCAUGUCCAUGCACCUCUCACAUCACCCAGCCAUGUCCAUGUCAUGCCAUGCCAUGCGCCUGUCAUAUCACCCAGCAAUUGUCCAUGGCCAUGCAAGUCACACAACCCAUGCCCUGCACUUCUCACAUCACCCAAACCAAGUCCAUUCACCUCUCACAUCAUCCAACCCAUGUCCAUUUCCAUUCACCUCUCAAAUCACCCACCCAUGUCCAUGCACCCUCACACCACCCAACCAUGUCCAUGCACCUCUCACAUCAUCCAGCCCAUGUCCAUGUCCAUGUCCAUGCGCCUGUCAUAUCACCCAGCAAUUGUCCAUGGCCAGGCAAGUCACACAACCCAUGUCCAUGUCCUGGACAUCUCACACCUUGCCCAUUCCAUGUCCAUUCACCUCUCACAUCCCUAGCCAAUGUUCAUGCACCUCUCACAUCACUCAACCCAUG
rnacentral:lncRNA from 1 species